rnacentral:hammerhead_ribozyme from 1 species
AUUCAGUUGACGAGUCCGAAACAGAACGAAACGUGCAUUCUGGAU